UACGUAGGGUGCGAGCGUUAAUCGGAAUUACUGGGCGUAAAGUGUGCGCAGGCGGCAGAGCAAGUCGAGUGUGAAAGCCCCGGGCUUAACUUGGGAAUUGCGCUCGAAACUACUUUGCUGGAGUGUGGCAGAGGAAGGUGGAAUUCCACGUGUAGCGGUGAAAUGACGUAGAUAUCACGAGGAACACCGGAGGUGUAGACGGCCAGCUGGACAGGUACUGACGCUGAGGCACGAAAGCGUGGGGAGCGAACAGG
rnacentral:rRNA from 1 species